rnacentral:rRNA from 1 species
ACGCCUAAUACAUGCAAGUCGAACGAAGUAGCAAUACUUAGUGGCAGACGGGUGAGUAACAUGUAGGUAUCUUCCCUUUGGCCUGGAAUAACACGAGGAAACUUGUGCUAAUACCGGAUAAGUCUUUACGGAGAAAGCUUUAUGCACCAUUGGAUGAGCCUGCACUUGAUUAGUUUGUUGGUGGGGUAAUGGCCUACCAAGACAAUGAUCAAUAGCUGAUUUGAGAGGAUGAUCAGCCACAUUGGGACUGAGACACGGCCCAAACUCCUACGGGAGGCAGCAGUAGGGAAUCUUGCACAAUGGAGGAAACUCUGAUGCAGCGAUGCCGCGUGAGUGAAGAAGGCCUUUGGGUUGUAAAGCUCUUUCGUCGGGGAAGAAAAUGACUGUACCCGAAUAAGAAGGUCCGGCUAACUUCGUGCCAGCAGCCGCGGUAAUACGAAGGGACCUAGCGUAGUUCGGAAUUACUGGGCUUAAAGAGUUCGUAGGUGGUUAAAAAAGUUGGUGGUGAAAUCCCAGAGCUUAACUCUGGAACUGCCAUCAAAACUUUUUAGCUAGAGUAUGAUAGAGGAAAGCAGAAUUUCUAGUGUAGAGGUGAAAUUCGUAGAUAUUAGAAAGAAUACCAAUUGCGAAGGCAGCUUUCUGGAUCAUUACUGACACUGAGGAACGAAAGCAUGGGUAGCGAAGAGGAUUAGAUACCCUCGUAGUCCAUGCUGUAAACGAUGUGUGUUAGACGUUGGAAAUUUAUUUUCAGUGUCGCAGCGAAAGCAGUAAACACACCGCCUGGGGAGUACGAC